rnacentral:lncRNA from 1 species
CACCGUUUCCCCACUGCUGGAAGGAGGUGGGAUACAGCACCUGACGGCCAGAGUGGGCCUGAAUGCAGGAUCACUCAAUGGAAAGUUAUUGGGAAAAUCACCCAAUUGGCUUUUUCUGUACAAAUAUGGCUCUAUUUAAGAGCCUCUGAGCUUGCAACAUGGAUCAAACCCAACAGCUGGAGUCUCUGAAAUGAAGUCCUCCAAGGUGCUGACACAUGAGCCGUGCUCUGCCCCAUGUCCAUUCGAAGCUCCAGGAACAGAAGGGUAAUGUCAGCCCCAGUGGCCAGGGAGUCUCUGCAGGAGCACGUGGCACCCCAAAGGCGUGUUCAUCCCAUUGCCGUCUAUGAGAACAGCACCUCUUUGACCAGCUUUUGGAAAGGACAGGCCAGAACUUUGUCUCCAGGGAUACCCAUGGAUAUGUCACCCUGUGGAGGGUGCUGCCCCCGGGGCCGAUAUUUGGGGCGCGGCGGCUGGGAGGGCAGAUGCUGGCGUGCUGCAUUCGCCGGGCUGCUUUCCUCCCGGACGGUGCCAAAAAAGCUGCUCUCCUGCGGGUGGCUGAGCAGAGGAGAAAGUCCUUGCAAAUACCCUGAGCGAACCUUGCAGCAUCGUCUCGUACUUCAUUAG